rnacentral:antisense_RNA from 1 species
CAAUGAUGUAUCAAUAAAACCUCUUGCUGCUGGGAUCUGCUUACCUGGUGGCCAGGGUGGCAAGACAAGUGAAGCUUGACUAUGCAGCGUCCACUGUGGAAACUACUACAUCUUUGCCAUGCCAAACACAGCACACUUCUGGUCAGCCUAUACAGUUUCUGUCCUGGUGAGGAGCAUGGUUACCAACAGGCAAGAUCUUCUGGCCUUGAAGUUUCACUUGAGUUAAAAGAGCUCAUCUCAGGACUUUCUGAAUUUUCAGCCCAUAUGACAUGGAAGAAGAGUUAGAAGGGGAAUCUGACUGCUUGGAUCAGGGACUGUCUGGCUGGUGGAACUUGAAUGUAUACAACACUCUUCAUUUGCAUGUUUUGACAUUUUAAAAAAUGUUUUCACUUUCCUUAUCUACUUUGACUCUAAUGACAUCCUAAAAGGUAAGUAGAAUUAUUCUCAUAAUAUGAUGAAGAACCCAAGGCUCUCAAGGGAACACCACUCUUGGAUUAUUUAGCCCUGCUCUUCUACAAGAAUUGCAUACCCCAACCCCUGGAGCCCUCCC